rnacentral:tRNA from 1 species
GGGGAUGUAGCUCAGUGGUAGAGCGUAUCAUUGCAUGUGAAAGGCCCCGGGUUCGAUCCCCGGCAUCUCCA